GACGAACGCUGGCGGCGUGCUUAACACAUGCAAGUCGAACGGUAAGGCCCUUCGGGGUACACGAGUGGCGAACGGGUGAGUAACACGUGGGUGAUCUGCCCUGCACUUCGGGAUAAGCCUGGGAAACUGGGUCUAAUACCGGAUAGGACCACUGCCUGCAUGGGUGGUGGUGGAAAGCUUUUGCGGUGUGGGAUGGGCCCGCGGCCUAUCAGCUUGUUGGUGGGGUGAUGGCCUACCAAGGCGACGACGGGUGUCCGGACUGAGAGGGUGACCGGCCACACUGGGACUGAGAUACGGCCCAGACUCCUACGGGAGGCAGCAGUGGGGAAUAUUGCACAAUGGGCGCAAGCCUGAUGCAGCGACGCCGCGUGAGGGAUGACGGCCUUCGGGUUGUAAACCUCUUUCAGCACCGACGAAGCGCAAGUGACGGUAGGUGCAGAAGAAGGACCGGCCAACUACGUGCCAGCCGCCGCAGUAAGAC
rnacentral:rRNA from 1 species